GAUGUUGCCUGAAAAGUUUUGCAUGGAAUAAUGGAAUAGGACUUCGGUUCUAUUUCGUUGGUUUUCGGAUCCGAAGUAAUGAUCAAAAGAGACAGGCGGGGACGUUUGUAUGGCUGCGCUAGAGGUGAAAUUCAUGGACCGUAGCCAGACAAACUAAAGCGAAAGCAUUCGUCAAGCAUGUUUUCAUUGGCCAUGAGCGAAAGUCAGAGGCUCGAAGACGAUCAGAUACCGUCCUAGUUCUGACCAUAAACGAUGCCAACUGACGAUCCGUGGCGGUAGUUUACAAACCUUCCCCACGGGCAGUCCCCGGGAAACCUUUAAGUCUUUGGGUUCCGGGGGAAGUAUGGUUGCAAAGCUGAAACUUAAAGGAAUUGACGGAAGGGCACCACCAGGAGUGGAGCCUGCGGCUUAAUUUGACUCAACACGGGAAAACUCACCCGGGCCGGACACUAUGAGGAUUGACAGAUUGAUAGC
rnacentral:rRNA from 1 species